rnacentral:rRNA from 1 species
AGUGAACGCUGGCGGUAGGCCUAACACAUGCAAGUCGAACGGCAGCACAGUAAGAGCUUGCUCUUACGGGUGGCGAGUGGCGGACGGGUGAGGAAUACAUCGUACUCUACUUUUUCGUGGGGGAUAACGUAGGGAAACUUACUCUAAUACCGCAUACGACCUACGGGUGAAAGCAGGGGAUCUUCGGACCUUGCGCGAUUGAAUGAGCCGAUGUGGGAUUAGCUAGUUGGCGGGGUAAAGGCCCACCAAGGCGCCGAUCCGUAGCUGGUCUGAGAGGAUGAUCAGCCACACUGGAACUGAGACACGGUCCAGACUCCUACGGGAGGCAGCAGUGGGGAAUAUUGGACAAUGGGCGCAAGCCUGAUCCAGCCAUACCGCGUGGGUGAAGAAGGCCUUCGGGUUGUGAAGCCCUUUUGUUGGGAGAGAAAAGCAGCAGGUUAAUACCCCGCUGUUCUGACGGUACCCAAUGAAUAAGCACCGGCUAACUUCGUG